rnacentral:rRNA from 1 species
UAAGCUGGCGGAUGCAUUACACAUGCAAGUCGAACGGCAGCACGGGAGCUUGCUCCUGGUGGCGAGUGGCGAACGGGUGAGUAAUGUAUCGGAACGUACCCAGUCGUGGGGGAUAACUAUCCGAAAGGAUAGCUAGUACCGCAUACGUCCUGAGGGAGAAAGCGGGGGAUCGCAAGACCUCGCGCGAUUGGAGCGGCCGAUAUCGGAUUAGCUAGUUGGUGGGGUAAAGGCUCACCAAGGCGACGAUCCGUAGCGGGUCUGAGAGGACGACCCGCCACACUGGAACUGAGACACGGUCCAGACUCCUACGGGAGGCAGCAGUGGGGAAUUUUGGACAAUGGGGGAAACCCUGAUCCAGCCAUUCCGCGUGAGUGAAGAAGGCCUUCGGGUUGUAAAGCUCUUUCAGCAGGAACGAAACGGUCGGCUUUAAUACAGUCGGCUAAUGACGGUACCUGCAGAAGAAGCACCGGCUAACUACGUGCCAGCAGCCGCGGUAAUACGUAGGGUGCGAGCGUUAAUCGGAAUUACUGGGCGUAAAGCGUGCGCAGGCGGCGACAUAAGACAGAUGUGAAAUCCCCGGGCUCAACCUGGGAACUGCGUUUGUGACUGUGUUGCUAGAGUGUAGCAGAGGGGGGUGGAAUUCCACGUGUAGCAGUGAAAUGCGUAGAGAUGUGGAGGAACACCGAUGGCGAAGGCAGCCCCCUGGGUUAACACUGACGCUCAUGCACGAAAGCGUGGGGAGCAAACAGGAUUAGAUACCCUGGUAGUCCACGCCCUAAACGAUGCCAACUAGGUGUUGGGGAAGGAGACUUCCUUAGUACCGUAGCUAACGCGUGAAGUUGGCCGCCUGGGGAGUACGGUCGCAAGAUUAAAACUCAAAUGAAUUGACGGAAGGG